rnacentral:rRNA from 1 species
AAUCGAUGCUACGUACGCUGCCCUAGUACCGCAGGCUAACUCGGCUACCAUGUUAGUUCGCUGCAUGCUGGUUACUUAACCAAUCGAUACGCUUGGAUUUGCCAAGAGGUGAACCCGUAGAGUAGCUAUAUUAUUCGCGUGUCUAGAGCUGUGCUUUAGGUCGGAUGCUGAGAUGCAGUCCAAAUGGGUGGUAACUCCAUCCAGGCUAAUACUGCACGAGUCCGAUAGUAGCAAGUACCCUGAGGGAAGGUGAAAAGCACUCUGAAGAGAGAGUAAAUAGUACGUGAAGCUGCAUGCAUGGAAGUUGAUGGAGUCAACCUUUUAGAAAUGGAAUUUGUGCAGAGAGAUUGUAUGGUUUUUUUGACCGAAAGGGUAUCAACUUGAAAAUGGUUGAGUAGGUUUAUCCUACUACAAGUGUUCAGGGUUGGACAUAUGUUGUGCAUUUAGAAAAAUUUUGGUCAUUUCUCUUGUACUGUUUUCAUUUCUUAAUUCUACAGUCAACAUAUAUGUAUUGUUUGGUAGUCUAACUGGGGAUUUUGUAAACUUUGUUUACUAACCAUAGAAUGGCAGGUAUAAGCAGGAUACCUCGGUAUUCAAGCGUAUUAAUUAGGUUUUUUUUUUAAAUCCUCGGAAUCCCAUUCGCAUCAUAAAAUAAAACAAUAUGCUUAAUCCAACACAAGUUGAUCACGAACAACACAACCGAGCAGCCGUACUUCCAUCUUCCGACGUACACGCGUGAACACAGGAACAAGGCAACUCCAUGAAUUCAAGC